rnacentral:rRNA from 1 species
UACGUAGGGUCCGAGCGUUGUCCGGAAUUAUUGGGCGUAAAGCGCACGUAGGCGGCUUAGCAAGUCGGAAGUGAAAUCCCUCGGCUCAACCAAGGAAGUGCUUUCGAAACUGCUGAGCUUGAGUACGAAAGAGGAUCGCGGAAUUCCCGGUGUAGCUGGUGAAAUGCGCGAGUAUCGGGAGGAACACCAGAGGCGAAAGCGGCAUCCUGGGCCAAGCCUGACGCUGAGGCGCGAAAGCGUGGGGAGCGAACCGG